CCAUAGCCAAGCGUUUUCCCCAUCCGUACUUUUAAUAUCUUCCUCUCUGUUUUUCAUUUUCUCUCCUGCUUCCAUUUAAUCUAAAUUUCUUGAAAACGUUUUCAGAUCUUAUUCAUUUUAGGGUUUUAAAAAUAUUCGCUGCUCUCUUGAUAGAGAGAAAGAGCCAGCACACACAUAUGCAUAAUUUUGCAUGAAGGAGAGAGUGAAUAUUUAUAGUAAGAUUAACCUUUCUUUCUCCAUAUACCAGUUUCAAUUCUGAGCGCAUCUCCAUCACCUUUGUUUCUAGCUUCAGUUCUUCUAAAAAAAAAAUCUAGAGCUGUGAAUUAGAGAAACCCUAGUUAGUGUCCGUACUUAGAUAUUUUACUUUCCUUUUAUGGAUCCGUAGAUCGAGGUCUUGUUAGUUGUUAUUAUUCCCAAAUCUGAUCUCAAGUACCUUCGUUCUGUACUUGCGACUUCUCUCUUUUUAUGUUUUUCCUUUCUUUUAUCAUCGGUUUUUGUGCUAGAUUUUCCUGGCUAUAUAUACACAUAUGUUGUUUCUCUUCAAUUUAUUACAUGCUUAUAUGUUACAUGUUGAUGGGGGAAAAAGAAGUUGACAGAAGAGAGCGAGCACACAAAGGGGGGAUUGUAUAAAAUUAAGUUUGUUGUAUAUAGUUGCUUUUGCGUGCUCACUCUCUCUAUGUCAUAACUUCUCCUUCUUGGAUCUUCACUGAAUCUUAGUGAUUAUGUGUUCAUAUUAUGUCUAUCCAUACCAAGUUAUGUAUAUGCAUUAUAUAUGUUGUAUCUCAUUCUUUAUUUUAUAAUCUUAAACUGUUUGGCAUUAGAUUUAGCUUCAAAGCUUUAUACAUUCUUCAUAUCACAGAUUUUGUCUUAUAAUAAAUUUAAACAUAUGACGUAACGUAUAUGUGUGAAUUAGCAUGUAUAUAUAAUAUUUGUUGGAUUUCUCAUACAAUCUAAUGUCUUUUUUCUAUUUGGGUUAGGUUUGGUUGACCCAUUAUGCUUCUUAGACUCGUUGGAAUAUGAUGUUUGUAUUCUAAGUAUCUAUUGUCACUGGAAUGUAUACUUCUUCUUUUUUGCAGACUCUAACUCACGGUUAUACUGAAUGGUUCAUUCCCAACUAUAAAAGUUAACCAAAGCUUGGACUUGAUGAGCUCAGAACCAGAGAAGUUGUAGUUUAUGUGUGUUGUUAGGUAUGCUAAAGAAGAAGAAGCAGGAGAAGGAAGCUCCCAGAGAAGAAGUGGAAGAGGGUGAAACCAAGGAAGAAGUGGAAGAGGGUGAACCCAAGGAAGAAGGGGAAGAGGAAGAGGGUGAAGAGGCUUAGACAAGAGUUUCGCAGUCUGUGUCUAUGUGCAAGUACCGUUAGAAGAGUUUUUAAUUUAUACAGCUGAGUCUUAUUUGGUUUAAAGUAUAGGACUUUUUAGGGAUUUUAGGCUAUGUUGAUUCGAAAAAUGUGCAGCCAUAGGGGUUGAGUAAAGCUAAUCUGUUGAACUAUGAUUUGUGAAAUGUUUACCAUUUAUUUA